GCUGGGCAUGGUGGCGGGUGCCUGUAAUCCCAGCUACUUGGGAGGCUGAGGCAGGAGAAUCACUUGAACCCAGGAGGCAGAGGUUGCAGUGAGCUGAGAUCGCGCCACUGUGCUCCAGCCUGGGUGACAGAGUGAGACUCCGUCUCAA
rnacentral:SRP_RNA from 1 species